rnacentral:sRNA from 1 species
CAAUCUUUUUUCAAUUAAUAUUUUAGGAAUUGCUAUAAAUCUAAUAACUUACGAGGAUCGCUUUGAUCUUCAUCGGAUUGAAAAGGAACUUGGUACCGAAAUAAAACCCAUACCGAAGGUAAUCGACCCUGCUUUAUAUGUCGCAAAUGUUAGCGGAUCGUCUGGAGAAAUUUGCAACAACAGUGAUCUUAAUACUUCUGCAAACGAGGAAGGCAAUGUUAGCAAAUAGAAUUCAGAUAAAAUUGUAAUUGUAGGUUUUUUAGUAGAAUAUAAUACAUGAAAUCAAUAAAGAGAAUGAAAUAUUUCGGAAAACUAACAACGACCUAGAUAAAUACACUAGAUAUAAGCCCAGUAAAGGUAUUUUGCAAAUUUAAUCAACAAAAAUUGGUAAAAAAAAAAUGAAACAAUAGUUGUAUUUCCCCUGUGGGAUCCAGAAGGAUUCUGUGAGGAGGCAUCGGUAGCACGACAUCGCCAGGGUUUUUGUUUGCCCUCAGACGUCUCGACAAGGGACUCCCACGAGUGCGUAUGUUCUUGGGCGACUCAGGCCAAUCCAAUUAGCACAGAACGAAUUUUUGUUUAGUUUGGAGCUUCUAUUUGGUUUCAGAACUAUUACGGGUCAAAAAUGUAUGGCCCUUGUGGAUCGUGCUGUCCCAUGUGCUGUGGAGGCUUCUGUGGUGGCUGUUACUGAGCAAUAACGAAAGGGGCCAAGCCUUCCAUUACAAAUCGUGUGACACCAUUACAAAUAAAACAUUUACAAAUGAAA